CAAGGACUCACACUAUCCUGGUCUUAGCCUCAUAAGUGAUUAAGGGAUUUCUCCAUCUUUCAAAAUAUGGUCUCUACACUGGUACCAGGACUAGAAUGUGCAAUUAGAAGCACAGGAAGAUGAAGUUUGGUGAACCUCUUACUUAAAAGAUAUCUCAUCUCCCCUUUCCACACAACUGAAGCAACCUAAUCCACUUCAUUCAUUUUA
rnacentral:lncRNA from 1 species